AACGAACGCUGGCGGCAUGCCUAACACAUGCAAGUCGAACGAGACCUUCGGGUCUAGUGGCGCACGGGUGCGUAACGCGUGGGAACCUGCCCUUAGGUUCGGAAUAACUCUCCGAAAGGGGUGCUAAUACCGGAUAAUGUCUUCGGACCAAAGAUUUAUCGCCUUUGGAUGGGCCCGCGUUGGAUUAGCUAGUUGGUAGGGUAAAAGCCUACCAAGGCGACGAUCCAUAGCUGGUCUGAGAGGAUGAUCAGCCACACUGGGACUGAGACACGGCCCAGACUCCUACGCGAGGCGGCAGUAGGGAAUAUUCUACAAUUGGCGAAAGCCUGAUCCAGCAAUGCCGCGUGGGUGAUGAAGGCCUUAGGGUUGUAAAGCUCUUUUGCCCGGGAUGUUAAUGACAGUUCCGUGAGAAUAAGCUCCGGCUAACUCCGUG
rnacentral:rRNA from 1 species